ACGAACGCUGGCGGCGUGCCUAAUACAUGCAAGUUGAGCGAUGAAGAUUGGUGCUUGCACCAAUUUGAAGAGCAGCGAACGGGUGAGUAACGCGUGGGGAAUCUGCCUUUGAGCGGGGGACAACAUUUGGAAACGAAUGCUAAUACCGCAUAACAACUUUAAACAUAAGUUUUAAGUUUGAAAGAUGCAAUUGCAUCACUCAAAGAUGAUCCCGCGUUGUAUUAGCUAGUUGGUGAGGUAAAGGCUCACCAAGGCGAUGAUACAUAGCCGACCUGAGAGGGUGAUCGGCCACAUUGGGACUGAGACACGGCCCAAACUCCUACGGGAGGCAGCAGUAGGGAAUCUUCGGCAAUGGACGAAAGUCUGGCCGAGCAACGCCGCGUGAGUGAAGAAGGUUUUCGGAUCGUAAAACUCUGUUGGUAGAGAAGAACGUUGGUGAGAGUGGAAAGCUCAUCAAGUGACGGUAACUACCCAGAAAGGGACGGCUAACUACGUG
rnacentral:rRNA from 1 species